AGGCCCGCGUAGUAAUAUCAAAAUCACACAUUGCGCUGAAGACGGGUUCGCAAAAAAGAAUCUCGAAUGGUCAACAAUAAUACAUCGCUCAAGGUGAAUAAUUAUAUAUUUUAACAUAACAACUAAUUUCAACAGUAAAAACAAAUAACAAAACAUUGUCAAAUUUGAAACAGAAGUGUACGAGUUGUCCUACGCUUCAGACUUGACAUUCACUAAACAUACAUGCUGAAAUUGACAUGGUUGAUUUUGUAACACAAUUAUACACAUUCAAGUUUUGAAAUCGACAAUUGUCAUCGUCAUUGGAAUGCAACUGUAAUACACAUUCUGAGGUCACACAGGUUCAAACAAUACUCAGUCCGGCAGUGGGCGGAGUUUUAAAGCGAUAUCUGUAUAGUAUACAGAUACAGCAUAGCGAUAUCUGUAGGGCUGUACCUGUAUAGUAGGACACCCA
rnacentral:lncRNA from 1 species